ACCCUAUUGAUACCCAAG
rnacentral:snRNA from 1 species